ACUCAAAUGAAUUGACGGGGGCCCGCACAAGCGGUGGAGCAUGUGGUUCAAUUCGACGCAACGCGAAGAACCUUACCUGGGCUCGAACGGCUUCCCAACGAUCGGUGAAAGCCGGUUAUCCCGCAAGGGAGUGGAGUCGAGGUGCUGCAUGGCUGUCGUCAGCUCGUGUCGUGAGAUGUUGGGUUAAGUCCCGCAACGAGCGCAACCCUUGUCCUGUGUUGCUAAUCGAAAGAUGCACUCGCAGGAGACCGCCAGCGAUAAGCUGGAGGAAGGUGGGGAUGACGUCAAGUCAUCAUGGCCUUUAUGUCCAGGGCUACACACGUGCUACAAUGGGCGGUACAAAGCGCCGCUAACCCGUGAGGGGGAGCAAAUCGCAAAAAGCCGCUCUCAGUUCGGAUUGCAGGCUGCAACUCGCCUGCAUGAAGCUGGAAUCGCUAGUAAUGGCGUAUCAGAACGACGCCGUGAAUACGUUCCCGGGCCUUGUACACACCGCCCGU
rnacentral:rRNA from 1 species